rnacentral:tRNA from 7 species
ACUUGUCUAGCUCGGUUGGUAAAUCAUAAGGCUCUUAACCUUGUGGUUGUGGGUUCGAGCCUCAUAGUGGGCG